rnacentral:rRNA from 1 species
UACGUAGGGAGCGAGCGUUGUCCGGAUUUACUGGGUGUAAAGGGUGCGUAGGCGGAUAAGCAAGUCAGUGGUGAAAUCUAUGGGCUUAACCCAUAAACUGCCAUUGAAACUGUUUGUCUUGAGUGGAGUAGAGGCAGGCGGAAUUCCCGGUGUAGCGGUGAAAUGCGUAGAGAUCGGGAGGAACACCAGUGGCGAAGGCGGCCUGCUGGGCUUUAACUGACGCUGAAGCACGAAAGCAUGGGUAGCAA